rnacentral:rRNA from 1 species
GACGAACGCUGGCGGCGUGCCUAACACAUGCAAGUCGAACGGAGCUAUUGACUUCGGUUGAUAGCUUAGUGGCGAACGGGUGAGUAACGCGUGAGCAACCUGUCUUUCAGAGGGGGAUAACAACGAGAAAUCGUUGCUAAUACCGCAUAAGACCACACUGUCGCAUGGCAGAGGGGUAAAAGGAGCAAUCCGCUGAUUGAGGGGCUCGCGUCCCAUUAGAUAGUAGGUGAGGUAACGGCUCACCUAGUCUGCGAUGGGUAGCCGAGCUGAGAGGCUGAACGGCCACACUGGAACUGAGACACGGUCCAGACUCCUACGGGAGGCAGCAGUGGGGAAUAUUGGGCAAUGGGCGAAAGCCUGACCCAGCAACGCCGCGUGAGGGAAGAAGGUCUUCGGAUUGUAAACCUCUGUUCUUGGUGACGAAAAAGAUGACGGUAGCCAAGGAGAAAGCCCCGGCUAACUACGUGCCAGCAGCCGCGGUAAUAGUACUCU